rnacentral:rRNA from 1 species
ACGACCGGCGCACGGGUGAGUAACACGUAUGCAACCUACCUAUUACAGGGGGAUAGCCCGUUGAAAGACGGAUUAAUACCGCAUAAUACAUUGUUUUCGCAUGGGAAUAGUGUUAAAGAUUAUUGGUAAUAGAUGGGCAUGCGUUUCAUUAGCUAGUUGGUAAGGUAACGGCUUACCAAGGCAACGAUGAAUAGGGGAACUGAGAGGUUUAUCCCCCACACUGGUACUGAGACACGGACCAG